rnacentral:rRNA from 1 species
UACGUAGGGGGCAAGCGUUGUCCGGAAUUAUUGGGCGUAAAGAGCGUGUAGGCGGCCAGAUAAGUCCGCUGUGAAAUCUCGAGGCUCAACUUCGAGCUGUCGGUGGAAACUAUCUGGCUAGAGUCCGGAAGAGGAGAAUGGAAUUCCUGGUGUAGCGGUGAAAUGCGCAGAUAUCAGGAAGAACACCCGUGGCGAAGGCGGUUCUCUGGGACGGUACUGACGCUGAGACACGAAGGCCAGGGGAGCAAACGGG